rnacentral:lncRNA from 1 species
UCGAGUGCUAGUGAAAAGAAUAGAGCAAAGGUAAAAGCCAGGUAAGGCGUCGGGAUCGGAAGGAGAGAGUAGGUGGCAAUCUUAGGGGGGCCCCGAGAGUAGGUCUGGGGAAGAUGACACCAAGCCAACGCUUGGAAGCGAGGUCAUCUGCCCUGAGGAUUGCUUGAGGUGGAGGGGCGGCCGGUGCAAAGGCCCUGAGGCAGAAAAGAGAGGUCCGUGUGAGUCCGGACGGCUGAACGAGGAGGAGAAGCGUGGGAGCGCCACCCGGCACGCCUGUAGGCAUGCAUGCCUGGGAAAACAAGAUGUGAGACCACAGCUAGCUGAAUGCUGCUGAUGAACCCCAAAUCCAGGGCCCUGUGUGACACUUGAAGCUGCCCUGUGGGACAGCAGGGGCCCUUUGGCUGGCAUCUCCCAGGCCACGUCCAAACUUGUUGUCUGGGCAAAGCCAGAACUGACUUUGGGAGUUUGACGCAAGCAGCAGGGAAGAACCUGGACUGCGGUGGAAGACUGUAGAGAAAGCUGGGUGAAAAGAUGCAGCAGGUGAUGGUGUCACACGAGAGUCCAGGCCCACCACGCCAGCUGCCUGGGACCCCUGAGGCUGAGCUCCUGCAGGAAAGAGCCCUGCCAACCCCUCCGCAUCCUGCCUUUGCCAAAGAGGGAAGCCGAGGAGACCGGCCAGGCGCAAAGAGCGCACCGAUGAGCCCGGCCCAAGUAAGCUGCGGCCCCUCCAUCCUUCUGGAAAUACAGCCCUGCCUCCUUCCACUCAUCCCUGACGCCCCCACCCCACGUGCAGGUGCUCCCUCUCACCAGGAACAUCCCCAUUCCUUCGUUGUCGCCUCUGCCAUUUGUGUCCACUCCCUUUCACCUCUCCCAAAUACACACAGUAACCGCCUCUCGUCUCUGUAAACCUUCUCCCAAGAGUCCUGUCCUGCCUCUCUGUCCUGAGGGCACCGGGGGGGUUUUCUCCAGGACAGCGGCAGGGAACUGUUUCAGGACUCUGUGACGUUUGAGGACGUGGCCGUGUGCUUCAGCGGUGGAGAGUGGCAGUGUCUGACCCGCGCUCAGCGGCACCUCUACGCGGACGUCAUGCUGGAGAAUUACGGGAACAUGAUCUCGGUCGGUAAGGACGUCCCUGCGCUUGGCUCAGUACUGUUUCCUCUCCUUUUCCUUUCAGUUGUAUUUUUUAUUGAUGUACGUGGGGCCUCAUAUUCUAGCCUCUGUUACAUAGCAAGGUAGUCACAAGAGCAGGGACUGGUCCCUAGGGUCUCCUCCUCUCCCUUCUGAGUAUGACUUGUCUGAGAAUAUCUGUACGCAUGUUUCCAUGCGACCAGACCCCUGAACAAACCCCUUCUGUACCCCAGUGGCCAUUUCUUCCUUGUUUCCCUACGUGGGCAGAGGGGUCAAGGCUGGGUGUAGGACCCUGGUAGUGUUGCUCUCCACACUCUUGUUCCUUCUCCACGACCAGGCUUUGCAGUCCCUAAGCCACCUCUGAUCUCCCACCUGGAGCAGGGGGCCGAGCCCUUCAUUCAGGAUCUGCAGGACUGGGGCUUCCUGACCUGCUCCUUCCCAGGUGAGUGAUGGGAAGCUGCAGCCUCCUGCCGGGUGCCCUGGGGAGGUGGACGUAGAAUGUUCUUAGUGCCCAGGCUCCCUAACGAAGAGAAAACAAAUAGCAGCAAACAGUUGGGGCAGUUAUUCUGUCAUGAUCUAAUUGCUUCUUUCCCCCUAUCUGAUAGGCCCUUUGCAAUUUGGGCCUCAGAGAAAGCUCAGUGAAUUCAUCUCCCUUCUGUGUAUCAGUUCCUCCAGUGCCCAGAGAACGCUGCUCUACUGCCCCUAGUUUUUGUUCAGGACCUUCCCCACAUUGAGCCUCAGGCCUCUGACCCUUGCCUUUCUCUGUUUGCCCUCACGG